GACGAACGCUGGCGGCGUGCUUAGCACAUGCAAGUCGAACGGAAAGGCCCUGCUUGCAGGGUACUCGAGUGGCGAACGGGUGAGUAACACGUGGGUGAUCUGCCCUGCACUUCGGGAUAAGCCUGGGAAACUGGGUCUAAUACCGGAUAUGACCUUCCAUGUAGUGUGGGGGGUGGAAAGAUUUAUCGGUGUGGGAUGAGCCCGCGGCCUAUCAGCUUGUUGGUGGGGUAAUGGCCUACCAAGGCGUCGACGGGUAGCCGGCCUGAGAGGGUGGACGGCCACAUUGGGACUGAGAUACGGCCCAGACUCCUACGGGAGGCAGCAGUGGGGAAUAUUGCACAAUGGGCGGAAGCCUUAUGCAGCGACGCCGCGUGGGGGAUGACGGCCUUCGGGUUGUAAACCUCUUUCGACAGGGACGAAGCUUCGGUGACGGUACCUGUAUAAGAAGCACCGGCUAACUACGUG
rnacentral:rRNA from 1 species